rnacentral:rRNA from 1 species
UACGUAGGGUGCAAGCGUUGUCCGGAAUUAUUGGGCGUAAAGAGCUCGUAGGCGGUUUGUCGCGUCUGCUGUGAAAACUCAGGGCUUAACUCUGAGCUUGCAGUGGGUACGGGCAGACUAGAGUGCGGUAGGGGAGACUGGAAUUCCUGGUGUAGCGGUGAAAUGCGCAGAUAUCAGGAGGAACACCGGUGGCGAAGGCGGGUCUCUGGGCCGUAACUGACGCUGAGAAGCGGAAAGCAUGGGGAGCGAACAGG